GAGCCGCAGCGAAAGCGAGUCUGAAUAGGGCGUUUGAGUAUGUAGUCGUAGACCCGAAACCAUGUGAUCUACCCAUGUCCAGGUUGAAGGUGCGGUAAAACGCACUGGAGGACCGAACCCACGUACGUUGAAAAGUGCGGGGAUGAGGUGUGGGUAGCGGAGAAAUUCCAAACGAACUUGGAGAUAGCUGGUUCUCUCCGAAAUAGCUUUAGGGCUAGCCUCGGAAUUGAGAAUGAUGGAGGUAGAGCACUGUUUGGACUAGGGGCCCAUCUCGGGUUACCGAAUUCAGAUAAACUCCGAAUGCCAUUCAUUCAUAUCCGGGAGUCAGACUGUGAGUGAUAAGAUCCAUAGUCGAAAGGGAAACAGCCCAGACCACCAGCUAAGG
rnacentral:rRNA from 1 species